CAAGCCUGAUCCAGCAAUGCCGCGUGCAGGAAGAAGGCCUUCGGGUUGUAAACUGCUUUUGUCAGGGAAGAAAUCUUCUGGUUUAAUACCUCGGGAGGCUGACGGUACCUGAAGAAUAAGUACCGGCUAACUACGUGCCAGCAGCCGCGGUAAUACGAAGGGGGCUAGCGUUGUUCGGAAUUACUGGGCGUAAAGCGCACGUAGGCGGGCAUUUAAGUCAGGGGUGAAAUCCCAGAGCUCAACUCUGGAACUGCCUUUGAUACUGGGUGUCUUGAGUAUGCAAGAGGUAAGUGGAAUUCCGAGUGUAGAGGUGAAAUUCGUAGAUAUUCGGAGGAACACCAGUGGCGAAGGCGGCUUACUGGUCCAUUACUGACGCUGAGGUGCGAAAGCGUGGGGAGCAAACA
rnacentral:rRNA from 1 species